rnacentral:lncRNA from 1 species
UAAGGACUAUACAAUGCCACUAAGGACUAGAAGGACUACUGUUAUACGUGUUAUUUUUACAUGUUAUGUUAGAGAUUGAUAUUUAAUGCAUAAAUUUCAAAUUUUAUAGAAAAAUAAUCAUAAAUAAAAAAGAUAUUCAACAUUUUCUAAACACGUGCCCAUUUUUCUUUGAUAUACCGAAAAUCAAUGAACCGAUUGACACGUGCCAAAUAAUAUAACAACUGAUUAAACAAUCAUAUUCUUUAAUUUAAGUAAUUUACAAUUGUAUCGAAAAGAUUGAUACUUGAUUAUCAUAAUAAAAUGUGUUGUUCUUAUUUAAAAUGAUUAAAAGAACAAAUAAUUUUGCUUUUGUUUCAUUUAUUUCCCGACAAAGUUAUUUGCCAUAGGUUUUAUCUUUGAUGUGCGCCAACUAAUAAGUAAGAGUGUGGUCAGCUUGGUAAAAUGUUAAUGUAAGAGACAUGAAGACAAAAUGAAUAAAUAUAUUUAUAACUUUUUUGUUUUUAUUUUAAUUCCG